rnacentral:rRNA from 1 species
UACGAAGGGGGCUAGCGUUGCUCGGAAUCACUGGGCGUAAAGCGCACGUAGGCGGCUUUUUAAGUCAGGGGUGAAAUCCUGGAGCUCAACUCCAGAACUGCCUUUGAUACUGAGAGCUUGAGUCCGGGAGAGGUGAGUGGAACUGCGGAGUGUAGAGGUGAAAUUCGUAGAUAUUCGCAAGAACACCAGUGGCGAAGGCGGCUCACUGGCCCGGUACUGACGCUGAGGUGCGAAAGCGUGGGGAGCAAACAGGG